AUUGCGCAAGGCUUGGGGAGCGCUGUCGGGUUCCACGUGACUCCUCCUGGGGCCUCCGUCAAAGGGAAGGCGGGGAACACCAAGUGGGUUCGUGCCUCUCGCUUUGUGACUAGACCAUGGGACUGAACCACCCGGUUUGGCUCGGUGACUCAGCCCUGUGUCUGCUACUCGUCUGGAGGUCACCUGGGAGCUGUCCUGAUUAUCAGAUCUAUUAUUGCUGUCCUUGCCUCCAGGUCCAGGAGGCCAGAGGAUGGUAUCGAAUUCCCCGGAAGUGGAGUUAUGGGAAGUUGUGAGCCAUCAUGGGGACGCUGGAAAUCGAACCCAGGUCCUCUGCAAGGGCAGCAAGGGCUCUUAACCGCCGAGCCAUCCCGCCAGUCCCUAAGAGAUUUCGUGUUGUGUGUGUGUGUGUGUUUUUUUUAACAUCCUGAACUUUGAGCUGAUGUAAACGUGUUCAGUAAAACCACAGGAGUCCAUUGCUUCACGACAAGCCCGGAAAGAUUAGACUAUAAUUGAAAGAUGGUAUGACUCACAGUAGCACAUACCUUCAAGCUCUUUAUUUCCCCUUCAGAGAAACAAACAUGAAGGAGGCUUCUUUUCAAAGAAGCAGUUUUUCAAUGCGCACACUGAUGAAGUUCCUUCGGGGCUUCAUACUUUCACAACCAACUAAGCCAGCCAACCAAUCAACAAACGAAAAAAGAUGAAACAAAACCCCCAAAUUAAACUAACCAAAUUCGUUUUUGACCCUGCCUGACAAAGAAAAGAACUGAAACAACUAAACUACUUUCCCUUUCCUUUUGAGACAGGGUCUCGGUCUGUGUCCCAGAUCGGUCUGGAGUUCUAGAAGGUCCAGGAUGCAUAGUCUGGGAUGGCCUGAGUCCCUUUGCCCCAACAGCCUGAGUCCAGGGAUCACAGGCAUGAACCCCUGUGCCACACUCACUGUUCCUUGCUCCAUUCCUGUUUUUCUGCCCCUAGAUAACUAUGUCCUUCCCCUUGGAACAUUUACUUUAUUUUGAGAAGUGUCUGACUCUAAAACAAAAAGUUUGUCCAACUGAAGACCUUUAAGUUGUUGCGAUCUUAUUUUGGGCAGCGCCGAACGGAAAGCUGAACUUUCUUCCUCAGGGAAGGCAGCUAUU
rnacentral:lncRNA from 1 species